rnacentral:lncRNA from 1 species
GAGCUUAUUAGCUAUCCUUUUCCUGACGAGCAUCUAAUUAGAUAGAUCGUAACACAAGGAAUGUAAAGGUAGGAGAUGACAAAUAUAUAGCCAACUGCAACCUCAUCAUCUGUUGACGUUAAAUAGUUGUCAUCAGUCCAUCUAAGGUAAAAUCAACUCUUAGAUUACAUUCUUGGCUUGUUUUUUAAUCAUUUAGAGUCUUGAAAUAUUUUAUUUUUGGAUCAUUUGGUUAUGGGUAAUGAAUGGCCACCUUAGUUCUCCAUCCAUUGGUCAAACAUCAAACACCUUCGUUAUAUCAUGUUUGAAUAGAACGAACAAACUUGAGUUUAAUCUACUCAAGCAGUGAACGUUGGAAAGAAAUCUUCCUCCGGUUUAAUGAGAUGAAGAUACGAGCGAAGGAGAUCUUUGUCCACUUAGGCCCCUCCGAUGACGUGGCAGGUGUCCAUUGAGUGCUCCGCGGAGCCCCACGUGGGGUCUAACGUCGGGAUCCGUCGGCUCACUUUAUUCCUGUCCGAGCACGAGCAGCUGAGCUCCGACGCGAAACCCGGGGGGCCCCACUUGGUAUCCUAGUGAGUGACGCUCGAAUCAGUUUUGUUCUUUUAUUUUCAUUUUGGGGCUGCCAUUUAUUUCCCUCAUGCAAAGCUCUGCUACAAAAGUGUAUCAGAAUCGCCUCAACUCCAAAGAGAAGAUAAAGAGAAGCUUCAAAAGGAAAAGACCACCACAGGCAUAUCCCCUCCUCCUCCUCCUCCUCCUCCUCAAGCACCACCACCGGAUCCCCAUAUAAGAAUUACCUCCACAUACUCUCCCCCUCCCCCGCCCCCCCCACCUCUCAACCCACCACCACCACACCUUUCUUCCGUUUCCUCGGCCACCUGUUUGCUCCGAGGACAGGAAAGGGAGUGGAGGAGGAGGAACAAGUGAAGCAGGAAUACAAGAAAGAGAAGAGGAUGCGCAGUGGUAGGUCCAUGAGGGCCUUCCUCACUGGCCUCGCAUGCCUCUUGUGUCUCGGCCUCUUCAUCUCUGUCUCCGUAGUCGGUAGAGGAGCAAAUGCUACACCACCGCCACCAAUACCAGUGACUGCUGCUGUCGUGGCUUCGUCAAGAGGUAAUAGGCCAACAGGGGACAGCAGCUUCGACCCUUUCCAUGCUAGUAAAAGAAGGGUGCCCAAUGGCCCUGAUCCCAUUCACAACAGGUAUCAUUAACACUCUUAUUCUUCGUAUGUGGCUCCUCCAAUCUUCACUUCUUCAUCUCAAUGCUUCGAUGCUCUUGUGAUUGAGGCUUAACUUGUUUCAUUUAGAAAUCACUGUCCUCAAGCUCACACACAGAAGAAGCUUCCUUUUCUCUCUCUCUCUCUCUCUCUCUCUCUCUCUCUCUCUCUCUCUCUCUCUUAGAAUCUUGGACUACGGAUUUGGACCUCACAAUGGCUCAGUUAUGGACAGGUUUCAAAGUAGAUUUUAGUGGUUGUAUCUCUUUUAGGACUCACUAGUACAGAACUGGCAUGCUGGCUGUCAAGGACCCAAUUGUAACUUUCACUCUUUGUCAUUGAUGUUUACUGUUCAUCCAGGAUACAGAAGACAAAGAAAAGAAACACAUAAUUCAAGCAUAAACAGACACUUGUAAUCUUUGAACAAACAAGCAUAAGAUGAUCAUCGCAUGCAUAGAAACUAGUCACCUUACUUCCAAUUGUCUUCGAUGGACGGUAGCACUGCGCCACGUUUAACCACCGUCGCUGUGUCUGUGGCUUUCAGGAGAGCAGGGAGGUUCGGGCGGCCGCCUGUGCGAGCGUAGCGGAGCGAGCGAGCGAGCGAGAGAGACAGAGAGAGGAGGAGUUCAGCUUGGGCGGUGGAUUAUUCUCAGCUUGCAUGUAACCACGAAAUGGGCCAUCUUUAAACACUCCUAAGACAUUAGCCGUAAUAUCCACGCUUUGCCAAAGUGCUCUGCUUUAUGAAUUGUUCUUGGUGGUGGUGGGGGAGUGUGUAAAGAGCGAGUCCCAUUCCCGUCUUCCCUCGCAAUUCAAACAUUCUUCUAGGGCAGCAGUGGAUUAUCUACCAUGGAAAGAUGAGGAGGAGAUGGAACAGAGACCGAUAAAUGUUGUUGGAGUUGUGUGAAAACUAAGCCACAUCCUUGUCAUGUAUUGGUUUCUUUUGUCAUUGUUGCACUGUAAGUAAAGCAAUCCGACCAGUUAAAGACACUUUAAUCUCUC